UUGGGCCGCUCCCGCGGCAUAUGGAGGUUCCCAGGCUAGGGGUCGAAUCGGAGCUGUAGCCACCGGCCUAUGCCAGAGCCACAACAACGCGGGAUCCGAGCCGCGUCUGCAACCUACACCACAGCUCACGGCAACGCCGGAUCCUUAACCCACUGAGCAAGGGCAGGGACCGAACCCGCAACCUCAUGGUUCCUAGUCGGAUUCAUUAACCACUGCGCCACGAUGGGAACUCCCCCUUAAUGUUUUUUGAAGAAAACUUUCUCAUCUCCAGCCCAACAAAAUCAACUGUUUGUGAGUUACAGUAUUGCUAAUAUUACAUUUUGCUUGCUAUGUAGAAGAGAAACUCCCUAGAUAUCAGUUUAUAAGUACUGAUUCUGCAAAAUGCAGUAAUUUAAGUUUCAUUUAUUUUACAGGGCACAUAAUAUAAUGCUGAAUUUGCAUCACAUAGAAACAUGGUUCAUUUAAAUAUCAAAUAUUCCGGAGAAGCAAAACAAUAUACAUGAUUCACUAAAUUUCUUCCUCACUAAAAUUAUGUUAUAAUUAAUCUUCAAAUAAUUUUUAAAAAGCAAGUGUAAAUAUCAAAUAUUUUGUAAUAAUAAGCAUAAUUUUAUUUAUAAUAGAAUCUUCCAUCAGUCUGCCAACCAAGGAGAUAAUUCUACUUUCUAGGAUAAUUUAUGGGAGAUGAAAUGGAUGCUAUAUCCAUAGAGCUGCAUGUGGGGGAUGCAAAUGUUAGUCUUACAUAUAAAAUUGACUAAGAUAUCAGACUGUCUCAAAGUAUGAUGGCAUUAUUUUGUUGCCAUUUACACUAAUUCUCAGAGAAAGUGAAAUUUUUCCCAUGGGUACACAUGAAGAUUAGCACCAAUGCAAUCAUUUCAGAAUGUCUUCCUUCAAAAAGUCACAGUGUGUUUAAGCUUCUGUUGUCUAAACUCCAUUUGUAUAUACACUAACUUGAGGCAAAUCCCAGUAUUUGGCUUGAAAUGAUACUUGCAAAAGCAAUCCUGAGGAAAAAGAGUACAAGGUUUAGGAAUAGUGAAUCAUGCAUGAAAAUCCAAAGCAUUUUCUUCUUCAUGUACCAUGUAUCUUUCAAAAUCUAAUGAUUAUGUAGCUUCAAAGGAAGUUGAAAUCUUAAAAACAAGUAUGACUUAGAAAUGGACUCACAGACAUAGAGAACAGACUUGUGGUUGCCAAGAGGGAGGGGAGAGGAAAUAGGAUGGAUGGGGAUUGUGGGCUUAGUAGAUGCAAAUGAUUACAUUUAGAACAGAUAAGCAAUGAGGUCCUACUGUACAGCACAGGGAACUAUGUCUAAGUUCUUGGGACGGAACAGGAUAGAAGAUAGUAUGAGAGAAAGAAUGCAUAUAUACAUGAGACUGGGUCACUGUGCUGUACCUCAGAAAUUGACACAACAAUGUAAAUCAAUUGUACUUUAAUAAAAAAAAGAAUAUGGCUUAAUAGGGAAAAUGGAAGGAAAUAUAGAAUUAGAUUUUAUAAAAAUAUAAACAGGGAAAUAAUUUAAUGCAGUAUAUUUGUAACUCCUCCUGUAGAGCCCAUUAAAAAUAUACUUGGCAGGACCUGAGCCAUAUCUGUGACCUACACACAGCUCAUGGCAAUGCCAGAUCCUUAACUCACUGAGCAAGGCCAGGGAUCAAACCCGCAACCUCAUGGUUCCUCGUCAGAUUCGUUAACCACUGAGCCAUGAGAGGAACUCCUCUUCAACUCUUCUAAGACAAGUACUGUGUUGAAUUUUAUAGAACCAGGAAUGACCAAGACAUGUACUAUGUCCUCAAGGUGCCAAAAAGAACAGAUAAAAAUUAAAUAAUUAUGAUGUGUAAUAAUAGUUUAAUGUACAAAGUAUAGAAUGAAAGCAUGGAAGGUAUAAUUAAGCAUCUAAAACUUAAUGAUAGGUUUUUUUAAUUAUUAUUUUUUGUCUUUUUAGGGCCACAGCUGCAGUGCAUGGAGAUUCCCAGGCUAGAGGACAAAUCAGAGCCAUAGCUGUGGGCCUAUGCACCACAGCCACACCAACUCAGGAUCCAAGCUGCAUCUGUGACCACAGCUCAGAGCAAUGCUGGAUCCUUAAUGCACUGGGUGAGGCCAGGGAUCAAGCCUGCAUCCUCAUGGUUCCUAGUUGGGUUCAUUAAACACUGGGCCACAACAGGAUCUGCAUGUGAUAGCUUCUCUAAAUUAAUUCUGGUGUCAUUGAAGGGAGGAGAGAGAACUAAAAAGUAAUCAAUUACUCAGACAAGAUUAAAUGAGUGCCUGGACUUUUAUAAGUCAGCAAGUAUUGAAAGCUGGGAUGGAGUUAUAGAUGAAUUAUGCUAUACCAGAGAAAUGGAAGAUAUCAAGAUAAUCUCCAACAUGCAUCACUCAGUGACACAUAACACAUUUAGUUGAACAUGAUAUAGAAGACAAAGCAAGUUGUGCAUGUAACUGAUCAUAGUGACUGUGUUAUUUACAUAUUAUUUGAAAGUCCCUUUAAUAUAUUCAGGUAGAAAUGUAAGCAAUUGGAGAUUAGAACCUGGAUCUAAAAAUGAUUUAUGAAGGAAUCAUUGAUAUACAUGCUUUAAAACUAUGAUACUCGAGUUCCUGUCGUGGUGCAGUGGUUAACGAAUCUGACUAGGAACCAUGAGGUUGUGGGUUCGAUCCCAGGCCUUGCUCAGUGGAUUAAAGAUCUGGUGUUUGCUGUAAAUUGCAGCAUAGGUUGUAGAUGUGGCUGAGAUCCAGUGCUGCCAUGGCCAUGGUAUAGACUGCAGCUGUGCCUCCAAUUUGACUCCUGGCCCAGGAACUUCCAUAUGUUUCAAGUGUAGCCAUAAAAGGAAAAAAAAAAUUAAUGAUACUUGAGAUUCUUAUCCAGCGUUGGGGUUUAAAGAUUUCUAGAUAGUUUAUGUUAAAUUAUGAAUGCACACGUGUAUUAUGAUUUAUCAUAUAUUAUGUUAUCUGGGAGUUUUUUUGGGGGGUUGUUGUUACUUGACUAGUUUAGCUGUGCCCUAGGUCACUCUAAGAAGACUUUCACCAGAGAUGUCUGACAGGAUUCAGACUGAAUGAGUCAAUUUCACUUCAGAGCUAAACAUAUUCAGACAGCCUGUUUAUAAAAUAAAAGUAAAAUUACUAAUAAUAAAAAAAAGAUUUCUAGAAAUAAAAAUAUAAUUACUGUUUAAGAAAUUUUUUAGACAGAAACCA
rnacentral:lncRNA from 1 species